AUUGAACGCUGGCGGCAGGCCUAACACAUGCAAGUCGAGCGGAGGGGCGGACGGGGGCGUAAUGCCUAGGAAUCUGCCUGGUCGUGGGGGAUAAGGUCCAGAACCGGUAGCUGAUACCGCAUCCUAUUACCUGAACCUAGGUCGGAUUAGCUAGUGGGUGGGGUAAGGGCUUACAAAGGCGACGAUCCGUAACUGGUCUGAGAGGAUGAUCAGUCACACUGGAACUGAGACACGGUCCAGACUCCUACGGGAGGCAGCAGUGGGGAAUAUUGGACAAUGGGCGAAAGCCUGAUCCAGCCAUGCCGCGUGUGUGAAGAAGGUCUUCGGAUUAUAAAGCACUUUAAGUUGGGAGGCGUUACCCACAGAAUAAGCACCGGCUAACUUCGUGCCAGCAGCCGCGGUAAUAC
rnacentral:rRNA from 1 species